UUUUUUUUUUUUUUUUUUUUUUUUUUUGAUUUGCUAAGUGACUAAACCUCAAUGGAGUAUAAGCAGAAUGCAUAAAAAUGUACAAAUGGGAUUGUGCAAACUUAUGAAUUCACCACCAAUUCAUCAAAACUUGAAACAGUUGUGAAUUGCCAUUGGCUGCUCAGGUUGUCAUGUCAUAAACUAGUGAUUCUCACUCUCUGUGACCAAAAUCUAUUACCUUCCUCAUUUUAUAUACUAGAAAUGAUUACUCAGACUUUGGAAUAAUAGAAUUCAGAUCCUAUGACAUGGUGUGAUGACAUUAAAAGCUGGGGAAUCACCACCGCUAUUUCACAACUUGUGAAACUACUCGAAUGAGUGGCGAAACACGUCUAGUUGGCUAGAUUAUCUGUACUAAACAUUACUAUCAGUUGAUUUUACCUCAAUAAAGUGGAAUUUUUAGAAUUAUUGAUUGGACUGUGAAAAGUAGGUGUUCAGUACAAACAUGCAAUCAAACUUGAAUAACCAUGAUACCAAUCAUAAUAUGUGUUGUUCGCCAGCAUAACUUGGUCUGAAACCAAGCAAUGAAGUCAAUGACAGGAGCAGCCAGCACUCUUUUUACUGUCACCCAGCCAGCCCUCCAGCUGUUUGCUUAACCUGAUAACAUGCAGAUCUGGCCAUGUCAGGAUCACUUCUCACAUACAUCCCCAGAGAUUCAAGGUAUCCUGCUCAGACUUGCCAUUCUGAAUAUAAUCCAAAUCCCACUGGUAUCAAACAAGCCUGUUGUCAUAUAGUAGCAUAUAGCUUUAUCACAGAAGUCAAGUAAUUACCAGAGCCAUGAGGCUGAAUCAGACCUGUUUAUAUGGAUUACUGUAACAUAAAAUGGAUGAGGUCUAUGGAGUCAUGGAGGUUUCCACACUACAGUUUUAGGUGGAGAUGUUUAACAUGGAUUAAAAUGAGUAACUUAUCUUUAUUUUGAUUGCAAAACAACAAAUCGAUGAUAAAUGAUGUGUGUGUGUGUAUAUAUAUAUAUAUAUAUAUAUAUAUAUAGUCACAAAGGGAUGAGGGACAGACACAGAGGAUGAGUGCAACACUGAGCUUUAACACUCCAGAGUGUUAAGGACAGGACAGAGCAAACCGGAAUGUAAGCCAUGUAGUAGAGAGAAUUGUAGCACUUAACUGAACUCUGUGAGAAGAGCUGGGUCAUUGUCUUGUGGUACCCAUGAUCUUUCCUUGGGUCCAUACCCCUCCCAAUCAGUGACAUAUUCCAAAUGACCGCCCCGACAUUGGGGGUCCAGGAUGGUGCAGUCUACAUACACUGGUCCAUCAUCUAGCAAGGAAGGAGAAGGAGGACCAUCAGCUACACCAGACCCUGCAAGUAGAGGAACAAGUGAAGGAAGGUGAAGUUUUAGAAGGGAGAAAUUCUGUAGUGUGAUGGUAAGUUUAGAUGGUAGGCAACUGCAUUUAUUUGUCCCUGGGUGGUGAAUGGGCCUAUGUAUCUUGGACUCAACUUGUGAAAGGUGGAUGUCCCUGGUGAAGAGCCAGACCUUUUGCCCAAGUUGGUAUGUUUUGGAUCUUCUGAUGUAGAUCUGGCUCUUGUGCCGUCUAACUGCCUGUUGCAGAUGGACGUGAGCUGAGUCCCAGACCCUCUCACUCUCCUUAAACCAGUGGUCAACAGCUGGAGUCUCUGAUAGCUUACCUGACCAGGGAAACAGAGGCGGCUGAAAGCAAAGCACACACUGGAAUGGAGUGAGUUUGGUGGUAGGUUGUCUGAGGGAGUUCUGUGCGUACUCAGCCCAGGGAAGGUACUAGUUCCAACUGUGCUGAUGGUUGUGGCAGUAUGUUCUCAGGAAGUGGCCUAUCUCUUGAAUAUUCCGCUCCAUUUGCCCAUUCAAUUGUGGAUGAUAGCCAGAUGUUAAACUCUCUGACACACCUUGAAGAACGACUUCCACACUCUCAAGAUAAACUGGGGUCCUCGAUCGGAAACCAUAUCUUCAGGUAGGCCAUAGUUUCUGAAGACCUGCUGUAAAAAGGCCAUCACAAAUGCGGUGGGUAGUCCCUUUAUUGGUAUAAGGUAGCAGGCCUUAGAGAACCGUUCUACUACCACUAGAAUGCAUGUGAAGGUGUUGGAUACCGGUAAGUCUGUGAUGAAAUCUACUCCUAGGUGUGACCGAGGUUGGCGUAGAAUGAUCAACAGAAGAAGCUUUCCCUCUGGCAAGUGUCUUGUAGAUGGCAUAGGUAGGACAUCCUUGUAUAAACCGAUAGACUUCUUGAAACAUACUUGCCCACCAGUAUCGAAGGAGAGAUGGAAGGAGAGAGGAUGUUUUCAGGAGGAACUGUCAGGGGAAUGCAACUGAGAGAGAGUUUCUGCCUUUACAUUCUUGGAUCCAGGUCAGUAUGAUACAGUAAAAUUGAUACAGUAAAACUGGCAGGGGGUUGACACAUCGAGCUUCGUAGGUAUUCUAGGUUGUGGUGGUCUGUAAUUACCUCAAAGGGAUAUUUUUUUUGUUUUUCAUACAACAAAUAUUUAAAUGUGGACAUGAAUUUCACUAUUUGUUAAUGUUAUUAAACAUGUAAUAAUUCAUAUUUUUAUGAUGGAUUUUCAAGAUUGGAAGUUAAAAUUGAAAGUCUGGGUCUGAUGGAUGGAUGGAUGGAUGGAUGGACGGACGGACGGAUGGACAGACAGACAGAUCGAUAGAUCUAUCGAUAGAUCGUUCGAUCAACGUGUUGCCCCACACAGCCCAGCUAAUCGGGAUGAGGUGUAAGAAAAAGCCCUGACCUGGCUAUUCUCUGCUCCAGACCUGAGGCCCUACUUAACAGUCUCCUAGUAUGAGUCUAAUGAGGGGUUAGUAUUUCAGCUCAAGAGCUCAAAGCUCUGGAGACCUGGUCACAGCUCUCUUACUGCGGCCUGGAUUCAACAAGCCAAAGGCAGGCCAUAUUAAUUAAAGCUUCUCCUGGGAUCCAGGAGCGUGAGAGAGAGAUAGUAUGUGUGUGGAAAGGAAAAUGCAGACACCUGUUGUCAGAGGCUGUCAGAGCUUAAAAUAUAGAACUCCACAGGUGCAUGAUGAGUUACGCAAUUCAUUACGGGACAUUCUGUGCAAUCUUAUUUCUUGUUAUGUUACAGUAAUUUUAAGUCAGGUUAUGUAAGAAUAUAGUACUUUUGUAAUGGUGGACGUAAUAUUGUCGCUCAGCUAAUGCUAAUGAAACUCAGGACUAUUGAUGGGGGCACAACUGAUCCCCCAGGGCCUGUGAUGAAGGAGCACACAAGGAGCACAAAAGCUACUUAAACUGCAGCUAAGCUCAUAAUAAUUUAAAGCAGUUAAUCUGCAGUCAAGCUACUGUACAUGAAAAAAAGUAGUUAGCUAAAAGCUACUAACAAAAACUAACUGCAUUGACACUAAAAUAUUAAUUUAUUUAAAACAGAAGACAUAAAAAGCCACAAAGGGAUUAAGUAUGUUUGUUUGUUUGUUUGUUUAUAACAGAAUACAUAAAAGCAGGGAAUAUUUUAAUCAUUUUUAUUUAUUUUUAUUUUUUUACAAAUUCAUUCAUAUGAUUCAUUCAAAUAAACUGAUUCACUAAAAUGAAUCAGACUUCCCAACAUACAGUAUGUUGAGUGUUGAAGUGAAUCUUUAAAAGUGAAUCUUUGUUCAUUUUUAUUGCAAUCAAACGGGCAAGUUUGAUUAUGCUAGUCUGAUUAUUGCUUUACUCACUCGAGUGUUGGGGUGUGUCCACAAUACAUGACAUAAAAUGACAUGUUUCUUGUAAAUUAAUUUUAAUGACAUUCUUGUAAAUUAACCUGAGACUAGUAAAACACUAGUCCACAAAUCCAAAAAUAUUGUUGAUAGCAUUAGGUUACUACUCCCCGACUCUGCACAAAUUCUACUCACAAAAAAAGUGUAAAUGUGACAUAAUGGUGUACAUAUAAAGAAUUUAAUAUUUUUGCCAUUCAUUAAACUUAUGAUACACAUUUUGUAGAUAAAUUUGUUGUAGAUAAAAUCAGUCUGGCAAUCCCCUUAGUGACGCAUACUAAGCUAAACACAUAUAUAUAUGGCCUUUUUAUCAGUGUCUCUGGCCUCACUGUAAAAUGUAACUGAUGAUCUUACUAAUAAAAUUAAGUGAUUUUAACUUAUUUUGAGUAAGUGUGUUGACCUUACUGAGUUUAACUAAGUAACGACAACUUUUUAGAACUGAAAGAUAUUAAACUCAAUAGAUUCAAUUAUCCUCUACUUAAAACAAUGAGUAGUACGACAUUUUUUUGAGUGGUCAGUUCUACCUGUAGGUGGAGUCAAUUUGCAACGUACUCUGAGGGGAGAAGCACAUGGAACGAUUUCUUAAGAUUAAAAUGUUUGAAGACUACACAAUGGAUCUGUUUUGUGGAAUGAGAUAUGCAUUAGAAAUAUCAAUGCAGAGUUCAAUCACAUCACAAUCAGAAGCCUCAAUCAAGAAUUCUUCUCAGCGCUUUAUCAACCUGCAGCUUGAAUUCUGGAAAUUUGUGCAACAAAGAAAGUGGCAGUUGAAAAGAGAGUUUCUUGCGCAAAUUAAAUCUAUGCACUGUCAUCACUGCUAAGUGCACAGUUCUUCUUGGCCUUCCUCUUAUUCUUGGAGAAGAAACCUCUGAUUUUUUUAAACAGUGCUGACAGGACUGUGAAUGUGACACACCCUUCUUGGGGAUUCUGACCGUGAUAACAGAAGACAGCCAGGAUUCUUCCUCCACAAGAACUACAUUUGGAGUCUUCAUGCACAGCAUUAUUCUAGACUGAGCCAUUGUCAUGGAUGAACUUAAAACCUUCCAGGUGCCAUGUGACUAAUUUUUGGGCUGAUAUGUGCCAAAUUUGGAGUUUUUCUUUCCCUUGGACCCAAUUCUCUGAAAUCAAAACUACAUUCACUUAAAACCCUUCUGUUGAUGUAAGCAAAGGCUGUUUGAGAUCGUUAAAGGCUUAGUUCACCAAAAAAUGUAAAUUCUGUCAUCAGUUUUUCACUCUCAUGUUGUUUGACUUUGGUUAGUCUUUCAAACACAAAUUUAGAUAUUUUUAAAGAAAACAGGCUGGAAAACUUUUUGGAUCUUUUAAGUUUUGGUUACCUGGACUUUCAGUUGGAGGGACAGAAACCUCUCAGAUUUCAUUAAAAAUAUCUUCAUUUAUGUUUCAAAGUCUAACCAAAGUCUUAUGGGUUUGUGACGUCAUGAGGGUGAGUAAAUGAGAGAAUUUCAUUUUUUUCUCUUUAAUCUUGUGGUUGCACUAAAGUCAACAUUCUUUUUCAGUCAUGAUUUGUAAUCCAUAUUGUUAUAUUAAUGAAAAAUGUUUAGAAUUUAGGGGUGCCAGAAUGGCAUUGUUUGGUACAUUGUAGUGUCUGAAGAAAAUUGAUGAGCAAUAAAUAAUGUUUUGCCUAAGAUCUGUUGUUGCUUUUUGUCUUAACUUAUAUUUUUUAGUUCAGCUUACUUGAAAAUUUUAAGACAAUCGGUUUCCUAAGAUUUUCCUAGUAAUGUGAACACUAGUAAUAAGUUAACCCAACUAAUGAUUUUGAGUUAACAGAACUUAACCAAUAAGUUCUCUUUACUUAACUGAAUUAAGUUAUGACAACUAAAAAUUAAUACACUACUUUACUUGGAAAUUUUAAGGCAAUCGGUUUCCUCACUUUUUCUAAGUAAAGUCAACUUGUUACAUUUUACAGUGCUGUAAAUUCAAGUCACGACUCUGAUGAAACUACAUUCCCUUUCCUUGGUUCAGCCCUGUAGGUCUUUUAACUCAUAACUGUGUGUCCGUGGCUACAGGUUGUGUUGUAAUGUCUCUCUAACCAGGCGCUGAUGGAUUGGUUUGGAAAAGCUCCUGGUAAAGGAGGAAAGCACAUGUGCCGUACGGCAUAGCAGGUGGCAAGCACUGACUUGACAGCAAUUAGAUGUACAAAUCUUUGAUUAGGCUCAUGGGAGCGGGAGUCAUUAGUGCAGCUGAGUGCUUCUCUCUCUCUCUCUCUCUUUGUCUUUCACGUUCAUCACCUUCUCUCUUUCAUUGACAUUUUAACUCAAGUCAUCAAAUGAAAUGUCCUUAGCUGAACUUUUUGUGUGUGUGUUGGCUUGAUAAAUUAAGAUGUGAAUAAGAAGUAUUGAUUUUUGUAUUAAUAGAAUAUUGUAAUGUUAUAAUACAUUUAUUAUUAAAUAAUAUUAUUAUAUAUGAAUAUAUGAUAACAUAUUCUUACAUAUACAUUUUAUUAACUAUCUAAUGUUAUUUUUAUUCAUUUUAAAUUGUUACUUUAUUGUUUGCAACUUUCUUAUUUAACUGUUUGUUUUAACUCUGUAGUUUCCUAUUAGGUUAAAAUGUAACCAAGAAUACUUUCAAUAACUUGAAACUUUUUUUUUUUUUUUUUUAAAUGCAUACAUUGUUUUAUAUCUGUGGUGUAAAAUAACAUGUGCUCACUGAGCUGGGAAUAAUUUGUGUGAAGAAGAAUAAAUGAACAUUUUUUUUUAAGAAGCUUGUCAUUUGGUGUUAGUGUUGUAAAUUUAAUGCUUGACACAAGAAAGAAGCUACAAAUAGAAUUUAUUUGCACUUAUAAAGUAGAUAGAGGGUGUAAUAAUGCAUAAUGACCACCUUGAAGAUGUAGCCUGUUUUGGGAGAGUUGAAUUUUUCACUAAAUAACUGUCAUUAACUUCAAGAUAACGGUUUGUUGUAACAUUAAUGGCAGUUUGUUCAGCAUUUAAGUGCUUUGGAAAUGCCACUGUAUUUCACAAGGGCAGUUUGUCAGAGAAAUGCUCAGCAGUAACCAAAGUAUUUGUAUUGGUCAUGCCUUAUAUACAGAAAACUGGUCUUUUAAUGUCCUUUUUAUGCAUCAAAAGCAUGAACUUCAAAAGCGCAAUAAAUACAUUUAGUCAAAUUAAAUGAGCUUCAAAUAACUGAAAUGAAACAUUUCUUCGGUCCUGAUUAACUGUUAAUUAAAUUCUAUCAUUACGAUAUUCUAGUAUAUUUAAUCAAAGUUUAUUGUUACAGACAGAAAAUACAAAGCGGUGACAAUAAACACAUUUAUAUUGUUACAAAAGAUUUCUAUUUCAAAUAAAUGCUGUUCUUUUGAACUUUCUAUUCAUCAAAAAUUACAGUUUCCACAAAAAUAUGAAGCAGCACAACUGUUUUCAACAUUGAAAUCAGCAUAAUCAGCAUAAUAGAAUGAUUUCUGAAGGAUGUGACACUGAAGACUGGAGUAAUGAUGCUGAAAAUUCAGCUUUGGAUCACAGGAAUAAAUUACAUUUUAAAAUAUAUUACAGUAGAAAACAAAAUUGUAAUAAUAUUUCACAACAUUACUGUUUGUACUAUAUCUUUGAUCAAAUAAAUGCAGCCUUGGUGAACAGAAGAGGCUUCUUUCACAAACUACCAAUGCCAAACCUUUAAACAGUGUAUGCCACUUUUUUGAGCAUUAUUUUACGUGAAAACCUGCGUCUUCUUUAGUAAUCACAUACAGUUUAAGAUUUUGUGGGUAUCAGCUGAUUGGGUGCUAUAGAACAAUGUAGACAGCAUGAACAGAUAAAUGGCACUAUACAAAGUAUUGUACAAUGUAAUUAGUAAUGCAUAAUUGGUGUAUUUACUGGUAUCCAUUACAUUUUUGAAAACUAAAAAUGAAAAUAUGAUUAAAAUUAUUACAAAUGGAGUAACCCAAAA